rnacentral:tRNA from 1 species
GCGCCCGUAGCUCAGUGGAUUAGAGCAUUCGGCUACGAACCGAAGGGUCGGGGGUUCGACUCCCUCCGGGCGUA